GAUGAACGCUAGCGGCAGGCUUAACACAUGCAAGUCGAGGGGUAUAGUUCUUCGGAACUAGAGACCGGCGCACGGGUGCGUAACGCGUAUGCAAUCUACCUUUUACAGAGGGAUAGCCCAGAGAAAUUUGGAUUAAUACCUCAUAGUAUGUGAGAAUCGCAUGGUUUUCACAUUAAAGUUCCAACGGUAAAAGAUGAGCAUGCGUCCCAUUAGCUAGAUGGUAAGGUAACGGCUUACCAUGGCGACGAUGGGUAGGGGUCCUGAGAGGGAGAUCCCCCACACUGGUACUGAGACACGGACCAGACUCCUACGGGAGGCAGCAGUGAGGAAUAUUGGUCAAUGGACGCAAGUCUGAACCAGCCAUGCCGCGUGCAGGAUGACGGUCCUAUGGAUUGUAAACUGCUUUUGUACGAGAAGAAACACUCCUAACGUGUAGGAGCUUGACGGUAUCGUAAGAAUAAGGAUCGGCUAACUCCGUGCCAGCAGCCG
rnacentral:rRNA from 1 species